ACAAAGUAAACUGAAGGGCUGGCAGCCAGCCCUCCUUACAGAUGAGGACCCUGUCCUCCUUACAGAUGAGGACCCCAUCCUUCUUACAGAUGGGGACUCCGUUCUCCAGGCGGGGGCAAGGGAUGUCUCCCAAGACCCCCAGUUGAUGGCCCACCAGUGCGACCGCCUAAGCCAAUGUUGACCCAAUACAGAUUGGAAUUCCUACAGGAUGGACAAGCUCCAUCUCUAGCCCAUUUGUUAGUUGUGAUGGAAAGGAGCAUCAUUGAUUUCAUAGAAGGCUCUGGCUCACUCACAAAUGGCUUGUAACAGAGGAGCCAAAGCAAGACUCUGAGCAUCCAAAGUCUCCUGCUGAAAAAGGAACAAACAGGAAUCUCUGAAAUUCACUGACCUUCUCUAACAAAAAUAUCCAAGAAAAUAGAUCAGAAAAAAAAAAAAGGAAGAAGCAAUGCAAUAUGAAGUAUGAAGUUAAUUGUGGGGUCUUUUACUCA